rnacentral:tRNA from 1 species
AGUUCUGUGGUGUAGUGGUCCAUCAUCUCGGGUUUUGGUCCCGGGGACUUCGGUUCGAAUCCGAGCAGAGCUA